UACGUAGGGGGGCAAGCGUUGUCCGGAUUUAUUGGGCGUAAAGGGCGCGUAGGCGGCUUGGCAAGUGGAUGGUGAAAUCCCUCGGCUUAACCGAGGAACUGCCGUCCAAACUGCUUAGCUUGAGACCGGGAGAGGUGAGUGGAAUUCCCAGUGUAGCGGUGAAAUGCGUAGAUAUUGGGAGGAACACCAGUGGCGAAGGCGGCUCACUGGACCGGUACUGACGCUGAUGCGCGAAAGCGUGGGGAGCAAACGGG
rnacentral:rRNA from 1 species